rnacentral:rRNA from 1 species
GACGAACCGUCCUAACGUUGUUCGGAAUCACUGGGCUUAAAGGGCGCGUAGGCGGGCGAGCAAGUCCGGGGUGAAAUCUUUCGGCUUAACCGGAAAAGUGCCUUGGAUACUGCUCGUCUCGAGGGAGGUAGGGGCAUGUGGAACUUCGGGUGGAGCGGUGAAAUGCGUUGAUAUCCGAAGGAACGCCGGUGGCGAAAGCGACGUGCUGGAUCUCUUCUGACGCUGAGGCGCGAAAGCUAGGGUAGCGAACGGG